rnacentral:lncRNA from 1 species
UCUUCCUAUAAAUCUUCUAAUCUUAUUUUUGAUUGUCAAGGUUACAACACUACUCCCUCAGGUCCCACGUUUUUAUCUUCCAACCCAUUUGCUGGAAGGAGUUGGAGAACGUCCAACAAUGUGAGUAAUACACAUGUUGGAUCAGUGAAGUUGAGCUGAUAAACUGUCAGAGGAUUCAUAUGGUUGUUGUGGCAGUUAGUGCUCCUCAUAUAGUGUGGUAUGAGUUCUGGUUUUGCUACAUAUGCGAUCAUGGAUUCGUCAAGAAAGGAUCUCAAGAGGCUUUCUAGACAAUUAAUUUUCCUGAGGGAAGAGGAGGGGAAAGCCUAAAACGGACCUGUCUGAUGCUGCUUUGCUUAUGCCGCUGGAUCGGAGAACAGUAAAGUCACAAAGCAAGAGCACACCCACGGAAAAGUAAAGAGCAAAGUUGGAAAUGGGAGCUGUGAAGGGUUCUCUGAGCUUUGACCCAUGGCCUCUUCCACCCAUCCUAAUCUCUGCCUGUUGAAGAGAUUUCUGUGCUGCCGCAUGAACACAAUCACGUUUUCCUAGCUGAAUUGCAUACACAUUUUCUAAAACACAAUUGUUUUCAGAAAUGAAUCAGAAUAUGAACCAGAUUUCCCUUCCCCUUCCUCUCCUCCUUCCCCUUUCCUCUUCCCCUUCCUCUUCCCCCUCCCCUUGUCAAUAAUGUUUAAUUUUAAACUUCAGCAGAAUAAUAACGGUGUGCACUUCUGAGUCACCAUGCCACAUAAACGUCCACAUGGUGAUUAUGUCGUGUUCUGACUCCUUAAUGUACUUUAUAAACUCUUUGGCAAGCAGACGUGCCCAACGCCCGAUAAGUAACUGUGAAUCUCUGGAUUAAAAAAAAAAAAAAAAGUGUUGCUUUUUUCAGUGUGUGCAGUUUCAGUUAUCUUCUUCCUGAUUUGCAAGCCGAUCAGAUUGUCUUAGUUAAGUACAGGGUGGAAUUGAACCGAAUUCAGGUCUAAGAGCAUGCAGAAAUUCUGUUGUUUAGUUUUAAGAAAUUAGUAGCACAAAGCACCUAUCAAGAUAAUUUUGUGGUCGGUGCUGCAGGCACCACCCAUGGUUAGAUUCGCAGUCAGAUUUCUGCAGUCUUAACAGCCUGUCUGUGUGUCAGCUGAGUACCAGUAACUGUGAGCAGACUUUAGCCUAUGGAAAAUGCAAGCUAAUAUAACUCCAUUUAAC